rnacentral:piRNA from 1 species
AUGAACCGGAGAUCGCGGCCUACG